UGACAAUUCAAGGUCAAGAACAUAAACUUUUUUUACAGUGUAAGUUAGUAUGAUCAUGAAUCAACUGUUCUCUAGGUGUUGUUGUAAGAGUGUGUUUUCUGGUGUGUCUGAAGCCAAACGAGUGAACAUCCAGCUGCUGAGACUGAGACUGAGAUCAGCUGGACGUCUGGAUGAAUCUGCAGUGAAGGAGGGCAUCAAGGAGAAGAUGGACCAGAUCCUCUCAGUUCAGCAGACCAGCGAGACACGGAGAGUCCAGAUCUUCAUGCAGCGGCGGGAACCCAACGCACCAAACACAACCUCAUGUGGACACUGAUGACCUGCGGCGCUUUCACACGUUCUGAUGCUUUUAUUAGCCUAGAGAGACUUUAUAAGAAUGAGCAUUUCUAGUCAUGCCAUACUAUAAAUAAAUACAAAUAAAUGGUUAGUCAUUUUAAAUUUAAGAUCUGAUUUAAAAAUACAAGAAUGAAACAUAUGUGAAAUAUACUGAUUGCACUCGUCUGAAAUGUUCUAAUUUUAGCUAUUUGCUUUAGCAUUGCGUUCCUCAUUAGUUUACUGCUCAUCUUAUGAAUAAUGCACAUUUUUAUCGCUUCACUUUUCUGAUUCUGAAAGUAGUUGAGUAAUUAAUUACUGCUUUGCUAGAAAGACACUGUUCAAGUACAGUAAUACUGCUGGAACUUCAUUUAAUAUAGCUGGGGAAACUUAUUAAUCGUAUACUUUUUUACUUGAUUAUUAUUAAACUAAAACAAAAGGAAAUGAUCUGCAUGAUGUCCUUUAUGACUUCGUUACAAUAUUGCACAAGUAAACUAUGUAAAUAAUGUUCUCAAUAUUAAAAUAUCUGCAAAUUCACACCGAAUUUUUUUUUUGAAGCUUGUGUAGUAUUUACACACGUGCAGUGUCAGAAUCUGGCCGGACAGCACGAGCUCAUCUGAAGAGUCUUGAUAACCAUCAGAAGUGUUUAGACAGUAGUUUAGACAGUAGAAAGUGAUUGAUUACUGCCCUCCUAUGGUUAGACACAGAACAUGACUAAAUCAUGUUGGUUAAAAACAAACACAUUAGAAAUAGGGACAUGCAAAUAAAUCUCACUGCACCGAAUUCUUCACUAUUGAAUAACCAAAGCCAAUGAGUUUGGAGGAGAGUGAAUUAAUGAAUUAACAUUAAAUAACUUUCUGAUGUGGCUUGUGAGGCUGAAUAUAGACAUUUCAGAGAAGGUUCAUAAAAAUUGAGAUGUCCUAUUCAGACUGAAGAUUCGAGAAGAAUAAAAAUAAGCUUAUAUUUAGUUUGUUUGAUGGGUAAACAUCAUCAGGCAAGGUGCUUUACACCUAAACCCAAUCUGAAGAGGUUUGCUGUGGUUUAAACAGGGACCCGUUCCUCAUACAUCGCUUAUCACAUCCGAGAUUAAAUCAUCGCGCUAAUAGGAUCUGGAUAACUCGGUUCUUCAAAGACACCUGUUGUUGAUGACCGGAUUGAGUUAUCUGAAAUAAUUACGCGUUCAUGGGUUGGUUUAAAAGGGGUUAUGUAUUAGAUGCAUGGAAACCACGAUCAGCAGUGCAGUGAUUCGCUGGACGGAGAGACAGCAACGUAUUGACAUAAAAAAAGAAAAGAAAAAAAAAAGAAACCCGAGGAAAAACUUGACACAUUUCUGGACUUUUAUAAAGAAACAGCAAGGAGAACAUAACUGCAUCAAUUUUAUAACAGAACAAUAAAAUAUGCGUUUUUUAAUGUGGUAAUUAGCAAUUAAUAUUUCACAUUAAAUAUUAUAUUUGAACAGAUUAGUUACGUGACAAAGCAUUAAAGUGUAUUAAGGGUCAAGAGAUCAUCUCCUGCGCUCCAUCAAGCCACUCCCACUACUGACGUCACCAGACACUCUGCAAUAACUAUAUUAUCUGUG
ensembl:lncRNA